rnacentral:sRNA from 1 species
AAUGAAAGAGGGUCACAUUCUUCUGAAACUCUCUGCAGUCUUCCAACCACCACAAGGCCAUGGAUGUGGGGGUCUAUUCCAGACAGACUUAAGGGUUCAAGUGGAACCUGCCAUCUCCCAUUCCACUGAAGGACUGUCCAAGAGAUUUAGUGCAAGAUGGAAACCCAAGGUUAUCGAAGAUUGGAAGGUUAUCAUUGUGAAGAAGUAGCUCAAAGGACUCCGGUUUCUGUCUACAAGUGUGAUGUCUCCAUGAAGAAGACUUAGUAUGGAUUUGGGUGGGUAAGAAAGCAUUUAAACGCCCAGGAAAGGACAUGAUUAAAGUUGACCUUUUAA